rnacentral:lncRNA from 1 species
UAUUAAUUCACGUAGCCACAUUGUAAUAUUAUUGGUAUUAACCAUUAAUCCUUUUAAUGUUUAGCGUCAACGAUUCGACAAGCGGUAUCGAAGUCAGAAGCUACGAGUUUAGUUUUCAAAUACUAUAAAUUUAUGCAGGUGCUGAGUAGAGGGUUUGUUGGCUUAAAGAAGCAAACAUUUGCCUUGUGGUGGGAGGUCAGGUUGGCCGAAUCAUUUUCGAAAUAGUGGGAGAUCGAAUUGGGUCAAAUCAUGCUCAAAGUGGCGUGAGGCUGACUAGGUCGAAUCACAAUCGAGACCCGUAGGCACUUUGUCUAUUUGUUUAAGUGAAUUGGUUGCGUAUUUCUAACAGCUCAAAUUUUUGAGAUUCUGACCGAGUCAUUUUCGAAAUAGUGGGAGACUAGAUUGGGUCAAAUCAUGCUCAAAGUGGCGUGAGGCUGACUAGGUCGAAUUACAAUCGAGACCCGUAGGCACUUUGUCUAUUUGUUUAAGUGAAUUGGUUGCGUAUUUCUAA